AAAAAGAGAAAAAGAAAAACUAUCAGAAAAUCCGUUCAAUCCAUGGUCAUUUGUUUUAUGGAAACCAUACAGUUAAAUUCCUCAGAACAACCAUAUUUACUUUGUGCAUAAUGAGGGCAAAUAUGAAUUUUGCCUUUUCAGAUACUGGUCACUACGAAAAUCUAUUAUUUCACCUUCCUUAUAAGCAUAUGAUUCUAAGCCUAGGAUUUCAAUACCACAUGCCUCCCCACAUCCAGAAACUAUGUCUAGUUCCCAGAAGAGAGUACCUGGCUUGGUUGCCAUGUAUCUAACUGCAUUCUCCUCUACAGUUUUUACCUAGUAGUGGUUCUCUGUAUGUUUGUAUGAGGCUGCUCUUCUUCCUAUGCAUCAAUCAGUUCAAUAGGCAAGCCAAGUUCUGUAUUUCUACUGUUUGAAAACAAAAUUUCUGUCACUUAAAACCUCUCCAACUAACAUUUUCCAAAGAACAAAACAAGAAAGCAAAUGUGUCUUGAUUUCACUUGUCCUUCGUCUCAUCUCAAAAUUAGUCUUAGAGAGUGACAGUGAUACCUAGUUCAUGGUCAGUUUGUAUGUGCUUUCUGACCUGUCAUCCCUCUGGAUGACAGACCAUGCUUUGACUUCAGGAGUAAUACCUAAGUGGGAUUUUAAUAAUUGAUUAAGAUGGGGAAGAGAUUUGGGGUCACUAGGAUACUCUAAGAUAAGAAAGUGAAUAUUUCCUGAAAAAGUUGACUAUGGGACAUGUGAAGGUACACAAAUUCAAAUAAUGACAUUGAAAAUUUCAGAUACCCCACUGAUGAUAAAAAUGUCAAAGAUGUGGCAGGGAAAGAUGGACCUUAAUGUACAUUUAAUUUGAGUGAAACAGCUAUGAAAAAAAAUAAGAUUUGAAAAUCUUUACACCAGAAACUCAGAACUGACUCUUUCUUGUUUGUCUUAUAGCAGACCACAGCUAUUUAUGAAUAUUUUCCGAACCAAUACCUGAAGGCAUUUGUUCUGUAAUCCCUGGAUGGCCUUUAAAAAUCUUCUUCUGUCACAGUUUAUGCGUCUUGCCAUCGUCUGAAAUAGUUUUUAGGCCUAACAGUCCUCUUUACUACUUCAGAUUGCUGUACUAUUCAGCGUGCAUUAAGUCCUUGGGGGAUUCUGUGUGAAAGGUCAGCUGUAAUAGCUGGUUAUUGCUCAUUAUUAUUGAGUCUCCUUUGUUCCAUACAAUCCUGCCAUACAGUUGGGGAACACUCCUCAAGGGAUGAGUUUAUCUCCGUGUACUUUUGCCAUGGAAGCAGAAUUCAUUUGCAGCCAUUACCUUCUUUUAAUUCAGUCCCAGACAGGAAGACAUCAUUCUCUGGUCAGUGCCUUGAAAUCAUCACUUAAAAACCCAUGCCUUGUAAUGUGUGAUUGUUAUCUUUACCUGCAAUCCCAAACUUACUAUGACCCUCCCCCAAACAGACACCUCCAGCCUUACAGUCUCUCCUAAUUUUAUUCUAACUACAAGUUAGAAUGAGUAUUCCUCUUCUAUAAGACAAAAUAUUUUGACUGUGGUUUGAGAAUUAAUCAUUGCCAGGUUUGAAAAUUUAACCUGAACACUGUGGUAAUAUUUAAGUAAACACUUCCUCUUUUUAACUGGAAGUGAUCUUGGUAAAGUUAAUGCACCUGGUUUCUUUGUCUUUGAACAGAAUAGUUUGUGCCGCCCCUGUGGUGAUAAUAUUAUUUUAUUUUUUAAAAAGGGAGUAGCUUUGGAACACAUACUGAAUCAUCCAAGGGGAAUCUACAGUCUAGCUAUCAAGUUAUUGCUGCUCUUCCCUACAAGGUCAAAGCAUCCUUUGUAGGAUAGGCUAAGUCCAACCUUGAGAGUAGAUCACUGACAUUGUCUUAUAAACAGGAGUGUGUGUUAGGUGUGAAAGUGACUGACUCUUGGUUUAGGAAGCUACAACCUCUCCAGUUAGAUUAUAGGCCCUCUGAGGAAAGAAAGUCAGCUACAAAAACUAUACAACUAUAAAACUUGAAACUAGCUGGGUUUCUUUUCAUUUGUUCGAAGGGCAUUAAACAAAGAAAGGAAAAAAGAACUGUGAAAAAAGAAAGGUGAAAAACACCCAUCAAAUGCUAACAACAAGAAAAUGUAGAAACCACAAAAUCUUAACUUUGCUUCCUGAUCAAAGUACUGAUAAGUAGAGCAGUUGAGUCAGCUGAAUUCCAAAGAGAGACAGAACAUGCAGACUGUUGGUUUGUCACAAACUGGGAGAGGAAAGGAUAAUCGCCAUGUGGGCUGAUUGGUCACAGUCAGCUACAGUUGCCCUGACUGCUAAAUGGAAUGGGCUAAUGUGUCAGUGUGAAAGAGUGGAGAGCUUCAGACAGUCAGUGCUUGUUUUGUUCACCUCAAGCACCUGGCUCCACUAUCAUGUACUUUGACAGAGUGCUGAUGAGGGACAAUGUCACAGAACUGGACUCUAGGAUCAACACCCCAGGGCAGAACCAUCCAUGGUAACUAGUAGAUGUUGUACAGAAAUAUUAUGAGACCCUAUCUCUGCAUUCUCAUCAGAGGUAAAAUCCUGAGGUGACUAAGGAAUGGAGAGCUAAGCCCAUUAUCUCUAAAGAGUGAAAAGGACCUGCUGUGAUGGAAGCUGCCUUACUGAACACAUUUCCAUGCUGGGAGAAGGCAGAAAACCAUGUUGCCCAAAGGAUUCUACUCCGGAACUAAGCAGUGAGUCACUGAACCUAAUGGCAGAUGGACAUAAACCAGCUUCACAAAGAAAAGUGGAGAGGGAGAAAAACACAGCAAGCACCGAGCUGUCUGUCAGACUAUAUUAAAGGUACCUGGAGUCACAAGAGAAGAUGAAAAAAAGAAAGGACAGAAGAAAUAGUUGAAGAGACAAAAGCUACUAAAAGAGACUUAUAAAUAUAUUCAACCAAGGAUCCAAAGAACUUGGAGUAAGAUAAACGCCUAAUAAAAGCAAAACAAAGUUAAAAUAAGUCAAAACACACAGAGCAUGGCAGGAAGACUUCAAUGAAUUGGAGAUAAAGAGAAAACCUUGCAGCAGCCAGAGGAGAGGCAUGUCACAAACAAAAGAAAAUAGAUGAGUAGAAGAAUAAACUUCUUGUCAGAAACUAUGAAAAGUGAAAGACAACGAUGUGACAUCUGUGAAUCACUGAAAGCAAACAAUUCUGUCAGUCCAGAAAAUAAUCUAACACAACCAUCUCUCAAAAAUCGAAAGUAAAGAUGAACUUUUCAGACACAUAAUGUGAGCACCAGCGGCAGAGGAUUUGUCCUCGAAGAAACAUAUGAGGGAAUUCUUCACACUCACAGGACCAGAUACAAUGGAUCAACAGAAAGAAAUGAAAAGCCACAGACAUGGAAAACCAAAGGCAGAGAGAGAGAGGGAGAGAAAGAGAGAGGGAAAGAGAGAGAGGGAGAGAGAGAGAGGGAGAGAGACAGAGAGGGAGAGAGAGAGAGAUAGAGAGGGAGAGAGAGGGAGAGAGGGAGAGAGAGAGAGAGAGGGAGAAUUUUCUAGUUAUAAAUUGGCAAGGAAUAACUCCUGGAAGUCACCAUGUUAACAUUGUAUUGUGAGAUUUAUAAGUGAUGAGAGCUGUAUGUGACAAUAGCAAAAGCAGACCCAAGAACAGGCUUGGAAAGUCAGUUAGGAAGUCAUAAUGCUGACUCUGACACCCACACCCAGACACACACAAUGGGCAGGGAAGGCAAAUGCUGAUGGGCAAUGGUGAAAACUUCAGAGCCACCCAUCAGAGCUAUGAAUUCAGUUAGGCAAAAGGAACUGACUUUUUAGUCAUACACCUACAGCAAGACCCUUGAAAGAAGACACACAGCCAAGGCUAGCAAAACUGUAGCCCCUGAGAUGCAGCUCUUCAUGAACCAGCAUGAAAUCUUUCAUCUUUUCCUGAAAGAUGAAAGAUUGCAUGAAGCCAUCAUGGGAACCUCAGAGCUCUCAGCCAUCAGGGCUGCUCUCAGUCACAGGAGGACAACAGUUAUUGCGAGGAGAUUUGAUGCUUGACAGAGUAACAAUGAGAAACUACAGCCUUUAUCACAUUUGUGGUUGGCUCCAGAUGGCCAGCCAAAUUCAGAAAACAUACAGUAAAGAAAAUGGGCCAAUUCUUUUCUUUAUGAAGCUUAUACUAAAGAGGAAAUGUAUAAUAAACAUGUAGAUGCACGCAAAUGUUCUGAAAUUUGAGAUUAAUGUAAAAACCAUGAAGUCAAAGAAAAAGUGUAGGAGGAAGUACCUUCUACUGGGCAACAUGGCCUGGCAUAGUCAAUGAGAAGUGAGACUGGAGGAUGAAGAAGGAGUCUGUCCCAUACCAUAUGAAGAAACGACAACUCAAAAUGCUGGUGUAAGGACAACAAAUGUAGCUGGAAGCUAGACAACUGACCUGACUGCAGCUACAGGCCGAGGCUGAAUGUGAAGGGCUCAGUAUUCCUACCACACAGCCAAACACUAUUGUAACACAGACCAAAGGCUUUAGUGUUGAGAGCCACCAUAAUUUUGGAAUUAGUUCAACUCUUCAAAUGCUUCUGUCUACAUUGUAUCUCAUUUUCCAGGAAGACCAUUUCUGAACAGCAGCUGCCUAUGACAGACAGACUCUCAGAAGCCACACAGAUGUCUGGUUUUUACAGCCACUGUCAACAAUAAUUACCUUUUGAAGUGCAGAGAAGCCGUGACAAGAUAAUGAUGCAUACAUGACAAGUGACCAGGUACAGAAAAUGAUGACCAGGUGUCUGAAACUCAAAAGAGAAAUGUAGGAUAUGUAAAGGUGUUUUGUGACUGUUAACUAUCCAUGCCUGCAGGAGCAAAAUGGCAAAAUUAUUUUAAAAAAUCCUAUCACAGAAGCAUCAUUUACACAAUGAACAAAGUAUAUGUUUAUAAGACAGAGCCUCAACUCGAAGCUGUUUCUGUGCUCCAUCACAGAGUAGGGCCUCUCUAGCUCCCAUGCUGGCCCAGAGUAGACCCACUCUAGCUCCAGCCUAAGCAACAUCACACGGAGGGACUGCUUCCACCACACCACUAGCACACUGUGUGUCGGCAUCAUCUCCAGCAUCACAGCUCUGCUCAGGAGGAUGUCAUGUCUGUUUCAUCACUUGGGAACUAAUUUCACAGCCUGUUUCCUCACAUUCUCACCAUGCUAUGGCCAUCAUGACUGUUGUCUCACUUCAAACAGCAAGUGUGUGGCUUUUCCAAGGUCUAUGCACCCUGCUACACCUCUGUCUGGAAGUCUUCACCCAGGCCUCGGCCUUCUUCACUUCUUUCCACUAAGUCUCAGGCCUUACUGUAUCCUCAGAGUAGCUUUCCCCCACUGUUAUUUGCAAGAAAGAAAGUGUCAGCACUCCUGCAUGGUGACCAGUUACUCUUUGCAUCUGUCACCACUAGGGAGUAAUUGUUAACUUACUUGGAAUUACAUAGGCCCUAAUUGUAAUACUAGGGUUAUGUUAACCCUAAUGGUUACUUGGUUCCCUGCUAUAUCCUGUUCCAGGAACCCUGUGUGUGUGUGUGUGUGUGUGUGUGUGUGUGUGUGUGUGUUUGUGUGGGCCGGUGUGUACACACAUACUCAUGCUAUGUGCACAUGUGGAGAUCAGUACACCACUUUCAGGAAUCAGUUUUCUUCCUCCAAGUUGAUCCAGGAACUGAAUUUAGUUCAUCAGGCUGGGCAGCAAGCACCUUUACCCACCAAGCCAUUUUGCAGGUCCUAUGUCAAAACAUGGUGUAAAAUGGAGUUAUGUGAGGAGAAUUCUGAGGCUCCAAGAAAGCAAGCCAAGAGUCUUGUGACCUCAGUUUCUUCAAAACAUGGAAUUGUUCCUGGAAUGCAUUUUUGUGCUCUUCCCAGGUGUAGUAGAUAGGAGUGAGUUUACUUCAGAUUGUUCAUUAUAUUUUGCUAAUGCUAUUUAGUUAAAUUUAUAAACUAUACUUUAUAUGCCUCUAUAGAAAAACAUGUUUUUUGCCAUGUGUGGCUUUGUCCUUGUUAUUGUAUACUACUUGAAUUCAUGAUAAUUUGCCUCAGGUGACCACUAAUGCUCAGGGUAUAAAUGCUCUGACUAAAGUUGCCUAUUGCAUGAGACUCUGGUUUGCUUCAUUUAUAGGCCUAAUUUUCCAGGGUCCCACUGCCUCUAGAGCAGAGACAGCCCUAUAGUUUAUUGUUUGAAAGAAAAUGUUCUGGAAACCACCAGAAAAGUGGUUGUUUUAUUAUAGAUGAAUAUUUAUUUGUUAAACUCACCUUGAGGUCAAAGCUCACAGGUGAUCAGUUCUAGUUCAUGACCACUGACUGGAUCAUUGUUGAUUUUAAAUUAUUCCUUUAACAGCCCACAGAUUAUAACUUUGUCUUAACAGCUAAAAAUGCAACUAAUUUAAAUAAAUUUGCAUUUAUCUCUGUGUA